GGGGCCUGUGCCGGGUGCACCUCGCGAGCUAGCUGCCGCCCCGCCUGUGUCGCGGUCGUACCCUCCGCCCUCUGCGCCGAGAGCCGCUGCCGCCCGAGACCUUCGAGGGCUCCUCGCCCCUGCUUCCUGGGAGACCCUCUCCGCUGGGAGAGUCGCAGUCACGGAGCCGGGGGACACCUCCGGGCGUGGUGGAGCACAUCUGAGGGCCCAGCUACUCGGGAGCUGAGGCAGGAGGAUCCCUUAAGCCUGGGAAGUCAAGGCUGCAGUGAGCCGAGAUGGGUGCCACUUCACUCCAGCCUAGGCGACAGAGUGAGACUUGCAGAAGGAAAGAGAGAAAAGAAAUACAGUAACAGUUAAUAAAAUUCUUAACACACAUGUAAUAAUGUAUUUUACUCACACAUUAAAUAACAAGACUAAAGUUGC
rnacentral:lncRNA from 1 species